rnacentral:lncRNA from 1 species
CGUGGCAGCCAUAGCCAAAAACAGAAUAAAGAAUCAAUAUCAGGAGCUUUAGAGUAAGACAGACUUGGUUUCCAAUCCUAAUUCAGCUAGUUUAUUGUAUGAUCAUAAGCAAAUCAAUUCACUUUAAGCCUCAACUUUUUGCAUCUAUAAUAUAGAAAUAAUAACCUUACUGACCUCAUAAGAAUGUUGGAAGAUUUAAAUAAGAUGAUGUUUCAGAAAUGCUCAAAAAAUAUUAGUUAUUAUAAUAAACAUUGUGGAUUUGAUUUGUUAAUGUUUUGUUAAUACCUUUUGAAUCUAUCUUCAUGAAGGAUACCGACUCGUAAUUCUCCUUUCUUGUAAUGUCUUUGCAAGGUUUUUAGUAACAGAGUAAUGCUGGCUUCAAAUGUAUCAAACAUAGAUGGCAAAGUGUUGUUUUCUCCAUGUUUCCCAGAGAUAAACCCACAUGAUAUUUUACAAAAGUGGAUAACAGACAGAGGGGAUUAGCCUAUAAAAGUGAAAGUAUAGCAAAGAAACAAAAUGUGAUAAUGCUGGGAUGGAAACUGGAUGUAAGUAGAAGAUCUGAACAACAGCAAACAAAGACAAGAGAAA